rnacentral:rRNA from 1 species
GGCGUCACCUUGGGAUGGCCUUGCGGUGCAUUAGCUAGUUGGUGGGGUAAUGGCCCACCAAGGCGACGAUGCAUAGCCGACCUGAGAGGGUGAUCGGCCACACUGGGACUGAGACACGGCCCAGACUCCUACGGGAGGCAGCAGUAGGGAAUCUUCCACAAUGGACGAAAGUCUGAUGGAGCAACGCCGCGUGAGUGAUGAAGGUUUUCGGAUCGUAAAACUCUGUUGUAAGGGAAGAACAGGUAUGAGAGGUAAUGCUCAUGCUAUGACGGUACCUUGCGAGAAAGCCACGGCUAACUACGUGCCAGCAGCCGCGGUAAUACGUAGGUGGCAAGCGUUGUCCGGAAUUAUUGGGCGUAAAGCGCGCGCAGGCGGCCUUUUAAGUCUGAUGUGAAAGCCCCCGGCUCAACCGGGGAGGGUCAUUGGAAACUGGAAGGCUUGAGUACAGAAGAGAAGAGUGGAAUUCCAUGUGUAGCGGUGAAAUGCGUAGAGAUGUGGAGGAACACCAGUGGCGAAGGCGACUCUUUGGUCUGUAACUGACGCUGAGGCGCGAAAGCGUGGG